AUUGACCGCUGGCGGCAGGCCUAACACAUGCAAGUCGAACGAGUGGCGGACGGGUGAGUAAUGUCUGGGAAACUGCCUGAUGGCGGGGGUUAUCUCCUGGACAUGGUAGCUACUACCGCAUACCAUCAGAUGUGCCCAGAUGGGAUUAGCUAGUUGGUGGGGUAACGGCUCACUAAGGCGACGAUCCCUAGCCGGCCUGAGAGGAUGACCAGCGACACUGGAACUGAGACACGGUCCAGACGCGUACGGGGGGCAGCAGUGGGGAAUGUUGCACAGUGGGCGCAGGACUGAUGCAGCCAUGCCGCGUGUAUGAGGAAGGCCUUCGGAUUGUAAAGUACUUUCAGCGGGGAGGCGUUACCCGCAGAAGAAGCACCGGCUAACACCGUGCCAGCAGCCACGGUAGUAC
rnacentral:rRNA from 1 species